rnacentral:rRNA from 1 species
CUACGGGUGGCUGCAGCUGAGGAAUUUUUGCAAUGCGCGAAAGCGCGACAAAGUAAGCCAGAGUGUUUCUUUUUGAGAAACUUUUGUCUGAUGUAAAAAGUCAGAAGAAUAAGGACUGGGCAAGACCGGUGCCAGCCGCCGCGGUAAUCCCGGCGGUCCAAGUCGCAUUCACAUUUAUUGGGUCUAAAAAAUUCGUAGCUUGUUUUGUAAGUCUCCUGUAUAAUCUUAUGUCUUAAACAUAGGACAUGCAAGAGAUACUGCAUAACUAGAGACCGGAAGAUGUAAGAAGUAUGAUUAAGGUAGCGGUAAUAUGUGUUAAUCUUAAUCAGACUAACAAUGGCGAAGGCAUCUUACAAGUACGGAUCUGACAGUGAGGAAUGAAGGCUAGGGGCGCGAAAGGGAUUAGAUACCCCGGUAGUC